AGGAAUCAGUUACAUUGCAUAUGUAUAUUAGAUUUACAAAAUUUUUUUACUACAUUUGUUGAGGCAUCAGGUGCGUUUCUAAUUUAUUUAAUAGAACGAGAUCAAUUUUAAAAUAAUGGAGUUCAUACAAGGUACGUAUAGUAGUAUUUACUUAGCUUAUUAUUCAAUGAAAAUAUUUUAUUUAAUUUUCUUUUAAACAUUUAACAUGAUUUUUAUUAAAAAAGUGAAGGCCAACUGUUUGGUAACAACAAAGGCCCAAAAGAAAGUAGCCAACGACGCAUGAGACAAUAGUUUCGUUGGAGGCUUCUCGAAUCAAAAGCCUUGAGCUCUUAAACACAGCUGGCUCUUCUAAGAGUGAGAUAACGUGCAGCGUCUUCAUGGCAGUAGCAGAACUUGACGCCUGGAAGAAGAAGAAGAAGGGCGCACCGAGGAAGAAGAAGAAGAACGCACCGAUUAAAAAGGAGAAUCAUCGAGAGGUCUGUGGUGAUUGCGGUGGUGGCCUGAGGGUUUAGGUGUGGCGGCGCUAGGGUUAGAUUUUUAGAAAGAAAGUAGGGUUUUGAUUUUUGGUUGGGCUGAAGGUUGAAGAAGAUGGUGAUGUGGCUCUGUGUUUUGUAAUGAAUAAAGCAGGAUCGACGUAGAUAAUCGUGAAAACCCUUGGGAAAGGUCAUCACCUUUGGCAUGGAGUCUUCUGACAACAGCGGUAAUGUCGAAGCCAAGAUCCAGGACAAUGAGGGCAUCCCACCGGAACAACAACGUAACAUCUCCCUUUGGGUGGCCAAGAGCGUCUCCGGCGGCACGAGUCGUCACUGCAGUCCUCACCGGCCACCAUCGGGACGUCAUCAACACCAAGCUCCUUGACAGUGGUCGCGCCCUGGGCCGCUUCCAAACCUUUCUCGUCAACGACCAGAACGCCAAGGGUGACGACAAUGAGGGAAAAGUUUGAAGUUUUUUAAUUUAUUUUCCUUUAAUGUAUAUUUUUUUGCUUUAACCAAUCCUUUUCUGAGUAAAAAGAAACAACUACUGGAGUAAUAAAAAUGUGCGACGACACGCUUCCACAUCGGGGCCAGAAUUCGACGACAAUCACCAUGGCCCGAUUGACCACCACUUCAAGGCCAUCUCCCAUCUUUCUCUAUGCCCAUUCUGCCUGUGAGGACUCUGAUACGCCGCCGCUGACCUCCGACGACUUCCCCAUGGUGCCCGACAAAUCCCAUAAGCACGUCAUCAACGCUCAAUUUUCAGGUUAAGUAGGACAACUCUGUCGGAAGCCAAGCCUUUGUUCCAAUCUGUCAUCCUUGGAAGAUUUUAUCAGGUUUAAUUACCUUUUUAGUCCCCAAGUUUGGGGUUGAAUUUCUGUUUGAUACCUGAUUUUAAAAGUGAUUUAAUUUGGUCCUCAAGUUACUGAUUUUGCUUUUAAUAGGUACCUUCCGUUAAGUAGCUUGCAACGACGUUAACUUCAGACGUACGUGGCAAUAUUUUUCUUCUCUCUCCUCUGUUAUUCCUAACACUUCUUUCUCUCUUUCCUAUUUCUCUCUCACCAUUAUAACAUCAUUAUAACUACUUCUCACACCUUUUUCUCUCUCUUCUAUUUCUCUUUCUUACCAUUAUAAAUACCUCUCACCUUUUUCUCUCUCAAGCCAGACCACGCAUAAGUCUUUUCAAAUAAGCAUAAUCUGGUUUGUCAUCAAACCUCAGUGACCGACAGUAAUGGAAGUAUGAAGCAAAUUCUGAGGGAUAGCCACGACAGAGAGGCUAACAAAAAAGUAAUCCACAAUCAGAUAUGAUUUGGAACCAAAAUAUGGACAUGUGAUAUUAAACAAAUAACCUUCUUUACGUUCGGCCGUGCCAGGAGCUUGCUCAUGAUGGUGGAGGUGAACAGUGCCGCGUGCUUGCUCACCACGUAGUCCUCCUGCUCGUCAUAGUCCACGUCGAGCUCGUCCAGAAAGAGGUGGGCGGGCUUGCGCACCACCAUGGCGGAGAGGAGCUGCCCGCCGAGCCAUGCGCCGCCGCUUGGGCUCAUUGAUUGCUCGAUUAUGGCGAUUCGCACGACCGGGUUCUUGCUCAGCUCGUACGCGCAGGAGAGGCCCGCGGAGCCUGCCCCCACGAUCACGACGUCAGUGUCGGUGUAGGUUAUCAUGUCGGUCAUGUAUCAGCGCGUCAUUUCGCGUGCGACGAUGGAUUCUUUGAUGGGUUGGAACUUAAAAGAUUGGAAGUCGUAAGGGGGUGUAGUUAGGGACAUGGAGAUUGCGGGUUGUUUUCACACUUUCCUGAAUCAAAAACGAAAAUAAAAUAGUAAAACAUCACCCCACACUCAAUAAUUUCAAUCUUGCAGCAGAAAGAAACAAAAAACCUUAAUUUCCAAGUAAUUAUCAGCGAAGCCCGUGUUAGAAAACAAACUAAAAACACAAAAGAAAAGAUAUUCGAUAUCCUAUAACUCCAAUUUCAACUCUACAAUACAACAUCACUGAAAUUCUUCAAUUCCUAACUUCUGCAACUUCUUAAAUUUCUCAGCACCAAAUAGAAGUAGCAAAAAACAAAGAUGUUAAACAUUUUUUUUUCAAAUUAGGGUACGUCGUAGGUCUAAAAACUCACAAGCUUAAUCGCAACCUCUUCAUUCGUCUAAAGAUUAGUUCCUGCGGCAACAUAAGCAAAAUAAGCAAAACAAAUUAAAGAAAAUAGGAAGUAAAUAAGCAAAAAAACGAAAAUCAAGUGGAAGCAGAGCGCACCGAGAUACAAAGCAUACUUUUUGUAUUGGUUUAAAGGCCAGAAUGAGUUGCGUUAUGCUUCUUCAACGAAAGGAAGCUAGUGUACCAUCUUUCAUAUUCUUCUUGAUCUGACGUUUCCUUUAUGCAAGGUUCUCCGGACUUGAAAUAAUAAUAAUACUAUUAUUAUUAUCAUUGAUUAUUGAAUCUGCAAAUGCAAUGCACCAAAAAUAAGAUAGAAGGGAUGUUAUAAGGGUGAGAGAGAGAAAUAGAAGAGAGAGAAAAAGGUUAGAGAGAGGUAGUUAUAAUGAUGUUAUAAUGGUGAGAAAGAAAUAGGAGAGAAAGAAAGAAGUGUCAGGAAUAGCAGAGGAGAGAGAAGAAAAAUAUCACCACGUAAGUCUAAAGUUAACGCCGUUGCAAGGUACUUAACGGAAGGGACCUAUUAAAAGGAAAAUCAGUAACUUGGGGACCAAAUUAAAUCACUUUUAAAAGCGGGUAUCAAACACAAAUUCAACCCCCAACUUGGAGACUAAAAAGGUAAUUAAACCAUUUUAUUAUAAUCAGGGUGGAAAUAGCAAAUGGAUGGCUACUCUCGUUCAAACUGCUACCUUCCAUGAUAUACAAUUCCUUCGCUUGUAGAGGCUUGAACUUUUGUUUCACCUUCCAUCAAAUGUUUCUCUCCUCGAGGAAAAUGUUGACAACUAUCAUCGCGAGUUCCAGGACCUCAUCAUCGACAACCAACGCCUCGCCGCAACAGUUGCUAAACACGACAACAAAGUGCGCGAGAUCCCUGCCUCACACGUCGUUCAUUUGAUUAACCUUUUUCUAUUAAAGCCAAACACAACUUAACGAUGACCAUCAAGUUGAUAUUUUUAUUUAAAUAUCAAUUAUGUUUUGGAUAUUAUGUAUCUUGCAGUUUAUA